AGUGAACGCUGGCGGUAGGCCUAACACAUGCAAGUCGAACGGCAGCACAGUAAGAGCUUGCUCUUACGGGUGGCGAGUGGCGGACGGGUGAGGAAUACAUCGGAAUCUACUUUUUCGUGGGGGAUAACGUAGGGAAACUUACGCUAAUACCGCAUACGACCUACGGGUGAAAGCAGGGGAUCUUCGGACCUUGCGCGAUUGAAUGAGCCGAUGUCGGAUUAGCUAGUUGGCGGGGUAAAGGCCCACCAAGGCGACGAUCCGUAGCUGGUCUGAGAGGAUGAUCAGCCACCCUGGAACUGAGACACGGUCCAGACUCCUACGGGAGGCAGCAGUGGGGAAUAUUGGACAAUGGGCGCAAGCCUGAUCCAGCCAUACCGCGUGGGUGAAGAAGGCCUUCGGGUUGUAAAGCCCUUUUUUUGGGAAAGAAAAGCAGCAGGUUAAUACCCCGCUGUUCUGACGGUACCCAAAGAAUAAGCACCGGCUAACUUCGUG
rnacentral:rRNA from 1 species